rnacentral:lncRNA from 1 species
AUGCCUUCAGAAAUGCAACACCCGCGGAUGCGUGCUCGGGGAAAGCCACUUCCACCAACCGCAUCGGCUGCACACACCACACACGCAACCGCCCGGUCGCCGCGCCGACCGUUCCGACCGCGCCGGGCCCGGCGAACCUCUCCCCGCGCGCGCACGCACCGGGCCCCGCGCCGCAGGCGGCUCCUCCCGCCGCCCCGCGCCGCGCACCCUUCCCGCCGGGACCCGCGACCCCUCGCGCUCCGGGCCGGCCGAACAAAGGCGACGCCAACAGCUCGGCCGGCUGAGGCGGCUCGGAGGCCCUGCCCGCGCUCACCUGGGCUCCGUCCCCGGCAGCGGCGGCGGCUCCUCGGCGGGGCUCCGGCGGCGCGGGCCUGGCGGCGGCGGCGACAACCACUCGGGCGGCCGCCCCGGGGCCUGCGGGGCGCUCGGGCGGCGGGGGCCCGCUCAACGCCGGCGCCGCGGGCUCAGGUCCCGGUGCGGGCGGCGGCGGCGGCGCAGGCGGGUGGGCGGCGACGCGUCCCGGUGGGUCCAGGUCCGGCCCCGGCGACGCCGCAGCGCGCCCUCCUCCUCGCGCCCGCGGGCGGACGGCGGCUCCGGCGCGGCCCGGGAUCCGAGGAGGCGGCGGCGGCGGCGCUCGGCGCUCUGCGCUCGGCCGGCUCCGCUCCCUCCGCCUCCGGCUCCGGCGGGCCCGCAGCGGCGGCGGCAGGAACGAGGCGAGCGCGGGGACGGCCCUGUCAGGGGCGGUGGGGGCGGCCGGGGCGGCGCUCAGGGCUGCGGGGCGGCGGGGCCGGCGGCGGCGGCUGUGGCUCCCGGGGCCGUCGCGCUGAGGUGCGGAGCUGCCACCGCGGCCAUCUUGUUGCUCUAACUGACAAGAACCCCCCCUCCCCCCGCUCCAGCCAGACGGGGCGCUCGCGCCCCCUUCCCCGCCCCGCGUUGGCCUCCAACAGGAAGUCGUCCCAGCCCCUGGCACGUGACUCCGCCGUAUCUGCAUACCGGAGGGGCAACUGGCCAAUCGGCACUCUGAACCUGAGCUCCGCCCCCGCGCGCCCCUCCCAGGCCCAUUGGCUGGUGCCAGCCAGGCCGCGCCCCCUUCUUCCCCCUUAA